UCCAGUCCUUCGCUAGGUCCAACCUACCCUGCACCAGCCUCAAGCACGUGAGACACUGUUACCUUGUGUUCUAACUGGUUACCACAAUCAAAUCCAUUUUUGCCCAGUUAAAUUAGUUAGCUCAUUUUGUUGAUAACUGAGUUGCAUUGGUAAUAUAUACUGAACUGUCUUUGGCAUUCUGUUUUGCAAUAUAUUCUAAUUGUCAGUAUUUUUGCUACAUUUUUGGUGUAGAUUUUAGGGACAUUAAUGUAGUGCUAAUGCCUUCCGUGCAGGUUAUUCAGUCAACGCAUAUUCUGUCUUUUGGCAUGUGUAUGCUUGCUCUUGUGCUCAUGUUGUAAUCGUGACCUGUAAUCAGUCCAUGAUCCUUGUGUGACCAGAAGUUGGGCAUAACUGCAUUGUUACUGAGAAGAUGUGAAUAUUAACUUAGGGAUCGGAGCUGAAGCUCUAGCCGAUAGCAAAGAUAUGAAGUCUGUGCUCUGUCUUAUGUUUGCAAGUAUAUUGAUGUAACUUCACAUCUUG
rnacentral:lncRNA from 1 species